rnacentral:lncRNA from 1 species
UCUGCUUCCUGCUGCCCUGCCACGAGCUGUUUCUCCUUUGCCACUGCCAUGUCUCCCUGCCUUAAAGCCAGCCAACUAUACAGUGAAACCUCUGCAAACUGUGAGCCAAAAUAAACCUUUCCUCCUUUAAGUUGUGGGCACUGUGUAUUGUGUCUUGGCAAUGAGAAAGUAAUUAAGACAAAUCCUGUCAUCAUUUAAAUUUGUUGCAAAAGAUUUGAUUUCCUUUUGUUGUCCUAAUUUUACCAGGUCUGUGAAAUCCUGCCAUCCUGGUGCCCCUCUCUGGAAUAUAGGAGCUUCAGUGACUUAAAAAACUGGGGACCCCAGGAUUGAGAAACUCAUCUUUCUUCCAUUUCAACUUGCACACCUGGUAUACCUGGUUCAGUUAAAAUGAGAUGGUUAGCCACUUGUCAAGAAAAGGGGACUGCAAGUCUGCCGCUUGGAGAAUCAUCACUGCACACAUCAAGAGAGCACCCCCUGCACCUGGAAGAUACGUGUGUCUCUCCACAAGCGAAUCAACUAGUGGACUUCCAAAGCCUUCGUGUAGUUUUCCUUUUGUGGAAAUGGAAUCAGGCAGUAUGUAUUGUUUUGUGCUGUGUUGCUUUUGCUCAAAAUCACGUUUGUAUGAAAUUUAUCACUGUUGUUGCAUUCAGGAAGAGUUUUGGUCAUUUUUCAUUGCUGUAUAAUUUCCCACUCUGUGAAUAUACUGAAAUUUACAGACAAUUAAUUGGGUUGUGUGUAGUUUUGGCCGUUAUGAAAAAGGAGGCUAUAAACUUACGUUUUCUUUCACAAGAUGCCUGCCAACGCUUCCCUUGGGCAUAUGUCUAGAAGCAGAGUUACUGAGUCAUAGAUUAUACUCAUGUUCAGCUCUGCAAGACACCACUGGAUAUGUUUCUGAGCUGGUUGAGGAAAUUUAUUUUUUAUUUUUUAAUUUUUGGUACCGGGGAAUGAACUUGAGUCCUUGUGCUUGUGAGGCAGGCGGCGGAACCACUGAGCUAUAUCCCUGGCCCUGGUUGAGGAAAUUUAAACAUCCGCUAACAGUUGCUUCACAUUCUUGUCAACAAAUCAACGGUUCUGGUGACAGUUGUGACACUGUGACAGUGUUUCCUUGUGGCUUUAAUUUUCAUUUCCCUUAUUGAUGAGUUUGAGCAUAUUGCUUUUAUUUUUUAUUCUGUAUAUUUAAAUUAC